AUCGCACCACUGCACUCCAGCCUGGGAGACAGAGCAAGACUCCGUCUCAAAAAAAAAAGAAUAGGCAGGAUCUCAGACAGGAGACCCUCGUGACUGUGUGACUGUGGUUGCCUGACACACGACCAGAGACAGCAAGUCAUUGACCUACUGCUUGCCUCGUUUUACCUGUUUGCGAAGCAGAGAUGCCAACAUGGGACUCACUGCAUUUUUAGAAGGAGCUAGAGCUGGACAGCCCAGCCUUCCUGUUUUAACCCAGCCUCCUCUGGGCUGGAGUGAGGAUCAAGUGUGAGAUGCCCCUAAAUGGAAACACAUCGCGCUCAGCAGAUGCCUGGUGGACGGCCGACCAGGAGCUGGAGCUGCAGCAAGAGCACAAGAGAGCUGGGCUUCCAGCUGCUCUGCCAUUGGCCCUGCUUGGGCCUCAGCUUCUCCAUAUGCUCAGUGCGUGCUUGGAGGAUGGAAGUGUUUUGGGGCCUCUGGAAUCCGCUGUCUUGUGAUGCCUGCAAUGCUGAGACCUGGGGUCGGGGGAGCAGAAUGAAAGCGGAGCCCAGGAGGGCAGAUGGUGGGAAGGAGCACUCCAGUGCCCCAUGUGGUGGGAGGCUGGGUGGGCAGAGGGGAGAGGGAGGACAUGGGGAAGGGCAAGGAGAGGCCACCACUGCUGGAUCUUCCCGAGGGCUGUCUAACUCCCUCCCGAGGGCUGUCUAGCUCCAUCAGGGGGCGCUUCCCCAUGCACCCCCAUCCCAGGUGUUAUCUCGAGCAAGGAAGGGCAGAGGGAAGAGAGGGUGGGCAAUGUGGGGGCCCCAGGGAGUGUUGGAGGGGCUGAGGCCCUGAUAGGUGGGCGCCUGAGUUCUGAAGAGGCCCUGGCAGUGAUGACCCCUGGCUCCAAGACUGGAACCCAGGAGCAGCAGGCUGGGGCAGAAGACGCAGGCCAAGCCCCAGUACUCAGGAGCAUUGGGGAAACCAGGGCAGCUCCCGGAGAGGCCAAGGUGACCCUCAGACCCUAAAAACAGACUGGCCACGUCUCCCAGGUGGAUGCAGCAGUUUCUCCAUGAGCAUGACUUGGGGAUUUAGGGCACUGAGACUCUGCUACCCACCCCCCUUAAAAAUCCCUUGUGACUCCCAGUUGUCCUGAAGGGGAACCCCAAACUCCUCAGAGGCAGCACAUGCUGGUGGGUGAGAAUUGGGAGCCUGAGUCCAAGUUCCAGCCUGGCCACUAUCGGCUGUGUGACCACCAGUAACUCGCCUAACCUCUCUGGGCCUCAUGGGCUCGUUGGAGGAUGUGGUGAGCGAGUGACUGAGAUGAGCUUAGCACAGUGCCGGCCACACUGCCAUUGUUCAGUGCCGGGUGGCUGUGCUUACCACCACUGCUGGCUGUAACUGGCAGAGCAGGGCAUAGAAGGUCUUGGCCACUUGAACCCUAGUUGGCCUAUCCUUUCUCAUCGGCUCCAGCUCCACCCGCUGAUGCCGCCCCAACACCAAGCUGCUCUCUGUUCCCUCAACACUCCUUGGUCUUUCAUGCCACUGGGCCUUUGCUUCUGCUGUGCCCCCGUCAGGAAUGCCCUUUCCCCUCCAGGCUGCUUCCAGACUCUGCCGGUUGUCGAGUGCCCUGGAAACCCGCUCACCCUGCAGGAGUUACUCAGUGUCCUGUGUGCAUCCAGACCUUGGUGUGUGGUAUCGAGCCUGUCUCCUGUCUGAGUCUGUGACUUCUCAGGCGCACAUGUCGUGGCCUAUUCAUUUUCUUAUCCUCGUUGCCCAGCGCCGCGCCUGUCACACGGUGGGUGCUCCGUAGAGUGGGCUGGAGGAUAGAAGCAAUCAAUCCCCAAUACCGUGGACGUGCUUGGUGGCAGGAGAUGCUUUGCUUCGAUGAAAUGCUCCGCCUCCAGGAGAAGACCUUGGUUUUGACCCUGAGGAAACAGCAAAACUUGGACCUUGAAGACAGGAGAUUGCCAUGACUAAUUUGGGGGCAGGCGGUGUGACUUUGAGUAUGUUACCUAACCUUGCUGAGCCACGUGGUACUGGUGAGGAUUCGGUGAGAUGACAACUGGUCACAGCAUGGCAGGCCUCCUGGCAUGUCCCUGACUCUCCUUCAACAGGAGCUUUCGAUAUAUUAGGGAGCAGGCUGUUGUGCCCCUUGGUGAGAUCACUUCGGGAUGUAGAGCCUUGUGAGCGCAGGCCUCCCAGAAGUCCAUCUUCCUCACCAACAAAUGACCCGGUUCCGGAGAAAGAUCUCGCCUUUGGUUGCAAGGGUCGGAUGGCAGUGGCAAUGAACCGGCUCGAUGUUUCACUGUCUUCACUGUCUGCCUCCCUCCCUGGACUGUGAGUCCUCCAAGGGCUGUUAGUGUGUUUGUGCACUCACAGUUGAACCCCAGAACCCAGGCAGGCCUGGCCCGUGGUGG
rnacentral:lncRNA from 1 species